rnacentral:misc_RNA from 1 species
GAUGGAUUGCAUGGAUAUGUUCCUUCGCUAGACCAUGUCGUAGCAGACACUGGGGCUUUCUUGGAAAAGAUCAAGUCAGAGCACCCUGGGGUACGAUGCUUCCUUUUUGGUCACUCAACCGGAGGGGCUGUGGUUUUAAAGACAGCCACAUGUCCUCGCAUUGAAGAGAUGUUGGAGGGGAUCGUCCUGACCUCGCCAGCUUUGCGUGUUAAGCCAGCCCAUCCUAUUGUCGGGGCUGUGGCUCCUAUUUUUUCUCUGAUUGUCCCACGGUUCCAAUUUAAAGGAGCAAACAAAAGGGGCAUUCCAGUUUCCAGGGAUCCUGCUGCACUUCUGGCCAAGUAUUCUGAUCCAUUGGUAUAUACGGGGCCCAUAAGGGUCCGAACAGGCCAUGAGAUAUUGCGUAUAUCCUCAUACUUGAUGCGUAACUUCAAGUUCGUGACUGUCCCAUUCUUUGU